GGUCAGCCAAGCUCAGACAUUGCUGGACCUCCCCUCUCCAUGGAUAUGCUAGAACCAUCUGGGGCUCUGGGCAAGGUGAGAGGUGGUCUGACCCCUAGUCUUUGGGAAUUGCCAUGGAGCUGGUGCUGAAGCAAACUCGGGGGACUUGAAUGAGGGGUCUGAGGGCCAGAAAAUUCAUGGAACUGGAGGAAUUGGGGCCAGAGGAUAUGGGAAGUGGGGGACUAGUCUUAGCACACAAAAUUGGGAUUCUCUGCCCAGUGCACAUAGACAAGCCAAUUAAUUGCAGCAUCAGCCUUUGGGAAAAGAGAGCAGCUUUAUUCUUAGAGAUUGGUCUGCAGGGAGAACAGGGUGCAUGUGCCCUCAGAUCUGUCUCCCCAGUUCAGGAUUUGGGGCAAAAUUUAAGAGGUUAGGGAGAAAGGGCUGCACGCGGAAAUGCUGGUGGGGCAGGCUUUGAUUGGUGGGCUUCAAGCAUUUAUGGUAAGGUUCUAAACUUUUAUGAUGAGGCAAGGAAGAAAUUUGAACACCGGAUCUUCCUGAAUGAGGUACCCUUCACUUCUGGUAAGAGUCUGACUUUCAAGUUCCAGUCAUUUCCUCGUCCUUGGGUUCUGUGGGAAGAAGGAUCUUUGGUUCUGUGGUCAUUUCAGGUCACAAUCUCUGCUUUUGUGCAUGCCUGGGCUGUGUGACUUUGCAGAUUUUCUGAAUGGCAAUUCUUAAUCACUCUGUUGAAAAGAGAUGAGACCAGAAAAUGAAUUCCAUCCCCUGGAGGUUCAAUUGAUUUCCCUCCCCUAGUUAUGGAAAAAGCCGGUUUUGUAUCCAUUUAUAAGUUAAUUUCAACAUUCCUUUAUUCCGCAUAGAUUUAUGAUUCUUAGACUUCUCCUCUGACGCAGUUAUAACAGUCCUGGAUCCCUUAUUAAUUAAUGACUUAAAUAAAAUCUUUGCCAUGCGUUCAUUUUAUAUCUGCAUAAGAGCUAUGAUUUUACCUUUCC
rnacentral:lncRNA from 1 species